rnacentral:rRNA from 1 species
CAGUAGCCGCGGGAAUACGAAGGGGGCUAGCGUUGUUCGGAAUUACUGGGCGUAAAGCGCGUGUAGGCGGGUCCUUAAGUCAGGGGUGAAAUGCCAAGGCUCAACCUUGGAACUGCCUUUGAUACUGGGGAUCUUGAGUCCGGGAGAGGUGAGUGGAACUGCGAGUGUAGAGGUGAAAUUCGUAGAUAUUCGCAAGAACACCAGUGGCGAAGGCGGCUCACUGGCCCGGAACUGACGCUGAGACGCGAAAGCGUGGGGAGCAAACAGGAUUAGAUACCCCAGUAGUCCCUGUCUCUUAUAC